UCUUCUUUUCACUAAACAACUGUUUUCAUGCCUUCCAGUCAGUUUUUUGACCACACCAGACAGCUGUUCAAUGACAC